rnacentral:rRNA from 1 species
CCUACGGGUGGCAGCAGUGAGGAAUAUUGGUCAAUGGACGAGAGUCUGAACCAGCCAAGUAGCGUGAAGGAUGACUGCCCUAUGGGUUGUAAACUUCUUUUAUAUGGGAAUAAAAUGUUCCACGUGUGCGGUUUUGUAUGUACCCUAUGAAUAAGGAUCGGCUAACUCCGUGCCAGCAGCCGCGGUAAUACGGAGGAUCCGAGCGUUAUCCGGAUUUAUUGGGUUUAAAGGGUGCGUAGGUGGAUUGUUAAGUCAGUUGUGAAAGUUUGCGGCUCAACCGUAAAAAUGCAGUUGAAACUGGAAGGCUUGAGUAAAGGAGAGGUGGGCGGAAUGCGUGGUGUAGCGGUGAAAUGCUUAGAUAUCACGAAGAACUCCGAUUGCGAAGGCAGCUCACUGGACUGCAACUGACACUGAGGCUCGAAAGUGUGGGUAUCAAACAGGAUUAGAUACCCUAGUAGUC